CAAGAAAACUUCAUAUGAUUUGUAAAAGAAAUGAACAAAUACACGUUUCAUUGUACAAGCAAAAUGCCAAAAACCUACCUGUACAUCGAUUGACAGUAGAAACAAAUAAUCCGAAAGUAAAUCAAACCAAAAUAAGCCAUAUUCUCUUAACAAUCAAUCCAAAUAGAAUAUUUAUAGAAAAAUCCAGGUGUUAUUGGAUCCAGAUCUGCUGCUUUUCCUCUAUAAACAAAACAUGGGGUUCCCCCCUCAACAAUCACAAAAAAUUAUCUUUGCUUGCAGCAACAUCAAUGCCCACGCACUUAUGAAAUCCCUUUCCUUUCCUUGUUACAGCGCUCUUGCU
rnacentral:lncRNA from 1 species